AUUGAACGCUGGAGGCGUGCUUAACACAUGCAAGUCGUGCGAGAAAAGUUCCUUUCGGGGACAUAGUACAGCGGCGUACGGGUGAGUAACGCGUGGGCGACCUGCCCAGAUGAUCGGGAUAACAGUUGGAAACGGCUGCUAAUACCGGAUACGAAUCAUAUUAUGUAUGAUUGAAGGGGCGCCUCUAAACUAUGCAUCCGCGUCUGGAUGGGCCCGCGUCUCAUUAGCUUGUUGGUAGGGUAACGGCCUACCAAGGCGACGAUGAGUAGCUGGUUUGAGAGGAUGACCAGCCACACUGGGACUGAAACACGGCCCAGACUCCUACGGGAGGCAGCAGUGGGGAAUAUUGCGCAAUGGGGGAAACCCUGACGCAGCGACGCCUCGUGAGGGAAGAAGGCUCUCGGGUUGUAAACCUCUGUCGGAAGGGAAGAAGUGCAUACGUGUUAAUAGCGUGUAUGUUUGACGGUACCUUCAAAGGAAGCACCGGCUAAAUCCGUGCCAGCAGCCGCGGUAAUACGGAUGGUGCAAGCGUUAAUCGGAAUCACUGGGCGUAAAGCGUACGUAGGCGGCCUUUUAAGUCAGGUGUGAAAGCCCUCGGCUCAACCGAGGAACUGCACUUGAUACUGAUAGGCUUGAGUCCUGGAGAGGAUGGCGGAAUUCCUGGUGUAGGAGUGAAAUCCGUAGAUAUCAGGAGGAACACCGGGUGGCGAAGGCGGCCAUCUGGACAGGUACUGACGCUGAGGUACGAAAGCGUGGGGAGCAAACAGGA
rnacentral:rRNA from 1 species